rnacentral:rRNA from 1 species
UUCAGAGACGGCAAGCGUUGUUCGGAUUUACUGGGCGUAAAGGGUCCGCAGGUGGCGAGGUUAGUCUGACGUGAAAUCCCGCGGCUUAACCGCGGAAUUGCGUCGGAUACUGCCUUGCUAGAGGACGGCAGAGGAGACUGGAAUUCUUGGUGUAGCGGUGAAAUGCGUAGAUAUCAAGAGGAACACCGGUGGCGAAGGCGAGUCUCUGGACCGUUCCUGACACUCAGGGACGAAAGCGUGGGGAGCAAACGGG